GUUCUGUCAGAUGUCACAGUCAGGACAAGAACAAUACCCUGUCUCUUUCACAAGGAGCUCUGGGAACCGACAGGCUUUGUGAGGUGGAAACUCAGGUUUUCCUAGGGGUGUAGCUCCCAAUACUCCCUCCGCUCUCAAGAAUAUAUAUGGGCAACAUAAAUUAGACUUGAUGGUGAAAAAGGCCUUCAUCUGGAACCCGACAAUCACACCUGACCCCCUUAUGACUGACAGCGUCCAUAACAGGCGGGCUGCUAUUGCUCUGAAGAGGAAGAAACUCACUUUCUAGGAUUUGAUAGGAUUGGCCCACAGGAUUUGGAAAGCGAGUGAGAAAAACAUCAUUACACGCCAAGACCCUUCUCUCUAGUUUGAUAGAUGUGUAUAAUAAACCAGGAGGGGCACCUUAAGGAA